rnacentral:lncRNA from 1 species
GCUCCAUCUCCUUCUUCCAUCUCCUCCAAUUCCCUUACCCAAAAUCAAAACUACCUCCAAAAGACCCCAUCUUCUUCUUCAAUGAUCAACCUUAAUUUAAAGGCGGUGUCUCUAGUUUCGGGGCGGGGGGGGGGGGGGGGGGGGGGGGGGGGGGGGAGGCAAGGAAUAGAAGCCACGGUCCCAUUCUAAAAAACCCACGUCAGAGAAUACUGGUUUGUCGUCAAUGCCUGUAGUUGCUGGUGGGAAGUUUCAACGAUUGUAUCUGCUACAGUCUGAGAACCUUGAUUUUCAAGCGAAGAGUGGACUGGGGAUGUCGUCGGUGGUUGUUUAUAACAGAUAGGUGAAGGAGUUGACACCAGGUGUAACUAAGGUGGGGGCAGUGGGGGUGAUAUUGUUGGGCUGGAGGAGGGUUAUAGCUAUUGUCCGAAUGAAGUGGACAGAGAGGAAAUCGCAAUGGUGUUGACGACUGGCAAUUGAGUGAAGGUGAUUUUGAUUUUGGG